AUAUAUAUAUAUAUAUCAUCAUCAUUGUCAUCAUUUUACAUCAACUUUCCAUAAUGGAUGGGUUGAAUAGGGUGUUGCAGUUAGAGUCAGCACGUAUUCAGAGAUAUUGCUCACCUCUAGAUGGGUUAGAGGACUGCAUCUUGCUUGUGUAGAGUCAGAAGAAACUGAUGGUGGUCUGUGUGUCAGCAAAGAAAUUAUACAGUGAAAAUCGAGAAUUUGGUUAAGUUCACAUGACAUGGAGGAAAAGAAGAACCUGAUGUUUCAGGACUUAACCUUCAUCUGAGAGAAAAGAACAUUUUCAACCUUCUCUUUCCUCUUUCUCUCUUCCUCUUUCUGUCUCUCCCUCCUCACCAUAUAUGCACAUUCAUACAUAUUUACACACACAGACACACACACACACACACACACACACACACACAUACAUAUAUACACAACACAUAUACAUAUAAAAAAUUUCUGUUGAUCCAUUGAGAAACAAUAAAUUACAGAACUCAGUAUGUAAAUGUAGAGUACUCUUUAAUACAUUAUAACUGAAAGGAUCAUAACUUUUAGUACUCUGAGUUUCACACUUCCACUCUUUCAGCUAGUACUCCAAGUCUGUUUUCUCUUGAAUUACCUGUUGUUUGAAUAUAUUUUGAAAUAUUAUAUGAAGGUUAUCACAAGCAAACAAAAUGCCUGUACUAAUAUAAAAGAAAAUUAAUGAAGUAUUUUAUAAAAAGAUAAACAUGUAAAGGUUGUCAAUUGUUUUGGUUAUUAUAACAAUCAUGGAAUUCCUAGAUAACAUGGACAAUAAUGCUUAAAGCGCUCUCAAAGACUUCUAUUUAAUAUUUUUAAGAGCUCUUCCAAUAUAAUGUUUUAAUCUAGCAACUUAAGCAGUUUAUUUUUCAAUAAUUUUAAAUUAUUAAGUUUUAGUUCAUUAAUAUUUCAGAAUUACUUGUAACUGAAAUAAUAAUUUCAUUGAGGAUAAGAUUAAUAACAACAAUUAACAUACAAAUGUAAAAUCUCAAGAUUAAUCAAUCUUUAUCAAUUGCCUCGUUUAUUACUCAAACGUUGGCUAUAGAUUAUUUUGUAUUAAACUUUUUUUUCUAAUUUAAGCUUUUUACAUUGAAUGAGCCAAUAAAGUUACAUCUUAAAUUUCAUAGAACACAAGUGCUAUAUAGAUUUAUAGUUUAUCAUAAAAGAUUUUUAUAUUUUUGAAUUUUUUUUUUUUAAUUACAACAAAAAUUAACUGAAAUGUAUUUUAUUUCACUCUCUUAUCAUGCAAUACCUUCAUAAGUUAACAUUGUUUCAGAUUUAGACUUAACCUAAAAAAUUACACUAUUCUCAAACUAUGCAAUAUUUUCUUGGUGUAUUCAUUAAUUUAUUUUGUGAUGUUAAACAAAUUUAUUUUCGAUCUGGAUAAUUUCAACUGAUUUGUGAUAAUAGACACACUAAUGAGAAACUAUAUAUAAAAUACUUUCAUAUAAAUACUUUCAGCGGUGGUGCCCCAGCAUGGCCGUGGCAUUGGGCUAAAACAUUUUUAAGGAUUUAAGGAUUUAUAUCAUGUCAAUCUUAUAUCAUUAAUUAUUUAACAAAUUUACUAUCAAAUAUUUCACAAUAUUCUAGUUAAUAAUUUACACUAAGCUAGUAAAACAUUAUUCUAUGUUAAAUAUUUUGUCUGGAAUUGGAAUCCAUAGACUGAUGAUAUGUAUACAUGUAUGUAUAUAGGUUCACACACACAUUCACAAUAUAACAUAUUGUUUAAUAACAUUUUUAAAAAAAUACCUUUUAUGCACAAACAGGAUAUGUUAGAAAAUCUACCUUAAAUAUAAUGUAAGGCUACAGCUCAUAAUGACUGCACCAUGGACAGUGAAGAAAUAUCAAUAAAUUUUGCUAUUGUCAAUGCACAUAGAAAACUAAGGAGAUUUCCCUGACAUCCUUUGUGGCUAGUUGGCCACUCCUCAACUGACAAGCACUCAUAACCCACUCCACUUGCAAAGAGAACUUCAUAAUAAUUACUGUUUAAAUCCUUCACAAUUUAGUACUUUGCUGUAACAGCUAGGCUAAUUUGCAGGCUGUACAUUAACAGUAUAAGUAUUUCGUAAAUAUAUUUUGGCACAAACAGUGUGUAGUAAAAUAAAUACAUUGAAUUCUUAUGUAGUCACACUACAGUUUGUAACCCUCAGACUGUGGAAAGAAAAACAAGACGCAUUCACAUUUAAUGUAUUUAAUUUAGCUUAGACUUUCUAACCCUUUGUGACUGAUGCAAAUCCAACAUUCACCCAGAAAGUAACCUACAUAUUCAACAAAUACUUCAAAGAAGCCAUUCAACAGAACGAUCUCAAGUCCUGAUGGAGCCAUGAAAGUGACUACGUGACAGAAUCAGGUGUCCCUUGGUUGUGUCACCCAUCAUGCGUGCAAUGCCAGCCGCUGAGCCUUUGGCACCAUGAAGCUGCUAGUCAUUCAUCAUUCACAAUGUCAGUUUGAGAUACAAACUCAGUCCAGAAAGCUCAAGCGAGCAGAAUUCACAUGACCAAACAGUUAACUCAGACCUUUUCAAACAUGGCCUACCUUCUUUUCAUGACAUAAGAAUUAUGCAUGAGAUGAGGUCUUUGUUUACCACACAUCUCAUAGUGAGCUUAAGUUGCUAGGAGAGGCCCUCAUCAACCUGCAAGAGUUGUCAAUGAAUAUUGCACUGGACUUGCUACACAAUCUAAGACAGUCAAACAUGUGAUAGUUAAAACUGUUUCUUUCACUUGGACAUGGAUCCCACAUCAGUGCUAGAGGACUCCAGCUAAUUGCUGAUCUUGAACACAAAGCUGCCAGCCUCCAAACUUCUGUGGUAGACAGGUAAAAUGUGUGUGUGUGUACAUGUGUGUAAGUGUUAAAAAAUCUAAGUUGCAAAAACAGGCACUUAUACAUUAGAUAAUCGAGUAAGUAUUUUAUGUGUCCAUGUAUAUAUUUAUAUAUGUCAUGUAAAUACAUUUUCAUUUAUAUAUAUAUAUAUAUAUUCACAAACGCACUUAUGUGCGUUGUGUUAUAUAUACUAACAUAUAUGUGGAUAUAUAAAUGUCUAUGUAAAUUGAUAAUAGAUCAUGAGAAACUUCAGCAACAAUGUUGAUGUCUUUGGAAGAAACAUGCAACAGCAAAUUGAGAACACACCAAAGCUAACAGGAAAUACUGGAGACAGAUUCCUGGCAUUACAUGGAAAAGUGCAGCAUUUUAGUUUGAACCACUUGAAGAAAUUAUGCCAUAUAUGCACACACACACACAUACACACACUGGUGCAUAUGUAUAUGUUUAUAUAUAAUCAUAAAUAUAUAUAUAUGUAUAUACUUGUAUGAGUAUGUACAUGUAUAAAUAUAUCAAUGUCAUUAUCAUCUUUGUGUUGAUGUCCACUUUUCCAUACCUACAUGGAUCAGACAGAAUUAGAUAAGACAAUUUCUAUGGCUGCAUACUCUUCCUGUCACCAACUCUUACCAAAAAAGGUUAUAUUUUCAUAUCACCAGACAUGAUUUCAAGGAAAAUUGGCUAGAAUGACACUACAUGCAUGACAGUGAUAUUUGCUUAUGUUAUAUAUCUAUAUAUAUAUCUAUAUAUAUAUAUAUAUAUAUAUAUAUUAUAUAUAUAUAUAUAUAUAUAUAUAUAUAUAUAUGAGGGGCUCCCUUCAGUUUUCAUGUGUAAAGACCACUCGUAGCUUAUUUGAAAAAUGCUCCAUCCAAAAUACAGUUGUAAGAAAUACAAACACCACUUCACAAAGACUAAUUAACUAACCAAUGAACAGGCCAGCAAAACAUCACCCAAUUAAUAAGCAUGAAAAGCAAACCAAUGAACAAACACAAGUACAAGAUCACACAUGUAACAUGUAAAUACAUUUCCAUUAUCUAGUUGUAGUAGUACUUGCCUGAAGAUUGCCGUGACAUGAAACUUGAGUUGUGAGACAAACUCACAGUUUUAGUUGCAAAAAAUAUUUAAAAAAUUUAUGUGUAUAUGUGUGUGUGAUAAAUAUAAGUGAAGGUAUAGCUGCAUGAAGAAUUCUGUUUCACAACCAAGUGGUUUUCAGUUCAGUCUCACAGCACAUCACCAUCAACAAGUAUCUUCUACUUUCACCCUUGGUUGACCAAAGCCUUGUGAGUGAAUUUGAUAGACAACAACGGAAAGAAACCUAUAACACACACACAUAUGUGUGUGUCUGUGUUCCUAUAUGUAUCUGUGUAGUAACCUCAUGUGAUGGUUGUAAACAAGCUUCAUCAAUACUACUGAUGAAGUAUAUUAACAGUCUUCUUUGAAAACGAUGUCUGGCCAUGGGAAAUUAUUAUUUUGCUUGGAAAAAAUUGAGGGUUGGCAACAGGAUGGGUAUCCAGAUAUAGAAACUCUGCCUCAGCAAAUUCUGCUUGAUCCAUGCAAACAUGGAAAAGUAGAUGUUAUUUGAUGAUGAUGAUCAUCAUAUAUAUAUAUAUAUGUGUAUAUAUAUAAAUAUAUGGAUGCAUGUAUACAUAUAUAUGUAUAUGUGUGCACAUGUUUAUAAAUAUAUAAUCAUGUAUCUAUAUAUAUGUAUAUGUACAUGCGUGGGUGUAUGUAUGUGUCCUUUGUCAUGACAUUUUAGGAUAGUUAUAAAUUAUCAUUAUGGUCAUACAAGCAGAAUCCCUUGUUUUCAGUCUUCUACGAAAACUUGUCUGAACAUAGGGAAAUAUUCCCUUGCUUGAAACAGGUGAGAGUUGGUAAAAGAAGGGCAAUCAGUUGCAAAGACAUGGAAAAUUGUAUGUUAAAACGACGUUGAUGAUGAUGACUAACAUAUAUAUAUAUAUGUGCAUGUAUAUAUAUAUAUAUAUAUAUAUAUAUAUAUAUAUAUAUAUAU